rnacentral:rRNA from 1 species
UAUUAUGAGGAAGAAGGGAAUUGUUUGGGAUUAAUGAGUUGAUGAAAUCUAAAUAAUUUGGCGGUUCUAAAGGUCUAUUUAGAGAAUUUUGUAUUGUGAUCGAUAGUCCUCGUAAGACCUUACUUAUUAGAUGAUAAUUUAUAUAUCGCUGUUUAGUUGGUUUUGGGAGAUUAUUAUCUUUUAUAUUAUUAUUUUGUAAUUCAAGUCAUGGUGUAGUUAGUUAUAAAGUUAAUAUGAAAUGCUUUUGUUUGGUUGGUGGAUAUAAUUCAAUAAGUUGUAUGGAUUAGGAUUUAAUAGUAAUUUUUUUUAUAAUGGGGAGAUGAAGGGGGCUCUAUAGAGUGCACAUAUUGCCCGUCACUCCUAUUUAUAUGG